rnacentral:lncRNA from 1 species
CAGUAAAAAACAAUUAGUACUCAGAAUUACAUUAGUACGAAGUUUGACAUGACAAACUUGCUCGGGUUUUUGUUUGUCGGACAACUUGGAUGAUGUGCUAUUUAGUGUUCGAGUUUCUUUCUUGCUCUGUAAGUGUUUGUCGGACAAUUUGGAUGAUGUGUUAUUUAGUGUUCGAGUUUCUUUCUUUUGUAAGUGGAGAGCUAAACUUUAGAUUUCAUUAUGGCUUUUCUGGGUGUUACCAUUUUUCCUUUCCUACGUGCUGAGUUCAACAUUUACAUAAUUUGAUGGUUAACCCCUGUUUGGUUUGGAUAAAAAUUAGUUUUAGUAAAUUUUGACGACUGUGAAAAAGUGCGGGUUCAAAAGUUUAUA